UGUAGAGCAGUGGACGCACCGGCCUGGGGCCCACGUGGCCUCCGCGACGCCUCAGGUCACCUUGAGCAGGUCACGCGGCGUGGUGGGGCCCAGGCUUCUCAUGCCACGCAUCAGGGCCCUGGAUGAGCUGGGCCAGGCCCCCUCCAGGUCGGAGAGGGGGGCAUUCAGUUCCCAGCCAUCAGUCCCAAGCUGCCGCCAUCCGCCCCUGGGACUCGGAAGGCUGGGCCCCACUUAAACCCCUUUGGCAGGAGCGUGUAGCUGUAAACCUGCCUUUAGUUUGCUUUGCAACUUGCUCUGACUUGUUUCUAAUCCUAGACACAGGUGCACGGAGCGUGUUAGAAGAGUGCCGAUCACGUCGGAAGGUGGCAACGCUCUCUGUGCUGGCGGCAGCGGCUUAUUGAGCAGAACAAGAGCGAUGCUUCUGUCUGGUGAUGCCCGGCGUCUGCCCCACAUCAUCGCCCCAAGGAGCUGAAUCCUGCCAAGGAUUCAAUCCAACCAACAAGGAAGCUGGUGGUUCCCCAGUCACACCACCAGAUGAGAACUCCUUGCCUGCAGCCUCCUGGGGCCCAGGCAGCUUAACUGCUGGGUCUGGACUCGUGACCCACUGAAACUGUGAGAGAGUAAAGGUGUGUAUUUUUAAGCUGCUGGUUUUACGGGGAUGUGGUAUAUAUCAUAGGGAUAGAAAACGAAGCACUUCCGGCGUGAGGCAGGGUCUCAGAGUCAACCUUCCUGCUUCUCCAGCCCCCCUCCCCCCACCUCCCCUGACUCCACUGCGCUGCCUCGAGGUAGGCCUCACAUCUUAUCUCUGGACUGUUGCAAUGGCCUCCC